rnacentral:rRNA from 1 species
UACGUAGGGGGCAAGCGUUGUCCGGAUUUAUUGGGCGUAAAGAGCGUGUAGGCGGCCUGAAAGGUCAGCUGUGAAAACUCGAGGCUCAACCUCGAGACGUCGGUUGAAACCAUCUGGCUAGAGUCCGGAAGAGGAGUGUGGAAUUCCCGGUGUAGCGGUGAAAUGCGCAGAGUAUCGGGAAGAACACCCGUGGCGAAGGCGGCACUCUGGGACGGUACUGACGCUGAGAAGCGAAAGCAUGGGGAGCGAACAGG